GACGAACGCUGGCGGCGUGCUUAACACAUGCAAGUCGAACGGAAAGGCCCUGCUUGCAGGGUGCUCGAGUGGCGAACGGGUGAGUAACACGUGGGUGAUCUGCCCCUUACUUUGGGAUACGCCUGGGAAACUGGGCCUAAUACUGGAUAGGACCAUGCUGUAGGUGGUGUGGUGGUAAGAUUAGUUUCGGUAAGGGAUGAGCUCGCGGCCUAUCAGCUUGUUGGUGGGGUAAUGGCCUACCAAGGCGUCGACGGGUAGCCGGCCUGAGAGGGUGGACGGCCACAUUGGGACUGAGAUACGGCGCAGACUCCUACGGGAGGCAGCAGUGGGGAAUAUUGCACAAUGGGCGCAAGCCUGAUGCAGCGACGCCGCGUGGGGGAUGACGGCCUUCGGGUUGUAAACUCCUUUCAGCCAUGACGAAGCCCUUGUGGUGACGGUAGUGGUAGAAGAAGCACCGGCUAACUACGUG
rnacentral:rRNA from 1 species